GACGAACGCUGGCGGCAUGCCUAAUACAUGCAAGUCGAACGCGACCAGCCGGUGCUUGCACUGGCGAAGUCGAGUGGCGAACGGGUGAGUAACACGUGAGAAACCUACCCUGGAGUGGGGAAUAACUCGAAGAAAUUCGAGCUAAUACCGCAUACCUUCUUACCGUCGAAUGGUGGUUUGAAGAAAGAUUUAUCGCUCUGGGAGGGUCUCGCGGCCUAUCAGCUAGUUGGUGAGGUAACGGCUCACCAAGGCAUCGACGGGUAGCUGGUCUGAGAGGACGAUCAGCCACACUGGAACUGAGACACGGUCCAGACUCCUACGGGAGGCAGCAGUAGGGAAUCUUGCGCAAUGGGCGAAAGCCUGACGCAGCAAUGCCGCGUGCGGGACGAAGGCCCUAGGGUCGUAAACCGCUUUCAGUAGGGACGGAAAAUGACGGUACCUGCAGAAGAAGACUCCGGCCAACUACGUGCCAGCAGCCGCGGUAA
rnacentral:rRNA from 1 species